UUACAAUGAAGGACAAUAAUAAAAAAAAUAAUAACAUCUAUGAUAAUUACUGUCAAGAUAUCCAAUAAAAAAGCAUUGGUAAAUGUAAAAAUUUGAGGUAAACUAAACUCCAGAGUUGCAAUGUUUUCCAUAGAGUUAUCGUGAAACAAAGAUAAGGCACACGAUAUUGGAAAUUUUCCUAGACCCGAUAAUGACCGAGGAAUAACAAUUGAUGCGAAGUUUAUAAGCAAUUAAUAUUACGAUUCAAGUUGUACAUACGAUCUCAAAAGCAAGAACGUUAUCGAGCAAUCAGUUUAGAUUAAGUAAUAAAGGAUUUAAAGAUCGAUCAAAUAUCGGGGAUGCAACAGUGAAAAGUUGUGCCGACAUAACAAGAAGAAUUAUUGACACGUUGGUAAAAGGAGAAAUUCGACUCACCUUAAACGCUUCUAUGCUACCCAUGUCGUUUGGAAGACAGCUGGCCAGCAUCAUAUCACCUUUACUUAAUCCUGCAAAUUAUAAGAAACAAAAUUGUUUGCGGUAUGCUUUUAGGAAACAAUUAUACAGCCCGUUAUGCAGGGUCAUAUCAAGAUCACACUGUGAGAUGAACAGAGGGAUAGAAGAGAAACUAGGUCACGUAACAAGCGGAAAAUCUGGAAAAUGUAAUGAUUAAAAUGAACGAUUUACCUGUAUGUACACGGUAAAAAACAGAUGAAUAUUCAUUCCACUAAACGAUAAUCUUUGAAUGAAUAGAAAAGGCGAGAAGCUUUUAUCCUUCUUCUUGAAAAGUAAAACUUGCAUCGCUCAAAACAAUGACGCAAUUAUCUGUUUUCAUAACUGGGAAGAAUGAGCUGAACAUCAGUAAUGGAACUUAUACAUAUGGUAUAGUAUAGUAUAAUAGAGUGUUUCAACCAUCAAACGAUACGACACCUUUGUAAACAAAUGAUAAAAUGAUAUGAACAGGUAAUCCUCAAACUAAUUUGACCAGUUUAAUAAUAGUCUCAUUUAACAACGGUAAACUUGCAUAACAUUGAUAAAGGUUUUAAAUUGUAUACUCUAUGGCGCCAUAUUAAUGUUUUCAUUCUCAAACCAAGUUGGAUGACAUUUACUGCUAAUUUUAUGAAUGUGUAAAGCGCAUAUAACGUGUGUUUGAAUUGUCAGCGCGUGUAUGUGCGCAUGUGCUUUAUUCAACAAGUGAAGUAAUACUAGAUAGUACUCGAAUUUCAGCAAUAAUAUAGCAUAAAAUAUGAAUUAUUUGACUAUUAUCUAUGCAAAUGAUAUUUAGAUUUGUAAUUUAUAAACACGUAUUAAGUUUAAUUAUUUUUUUAGGUCCUUGAAAUCAGAAACAUCUGUUAACAUGUUCGCUGUGAAUUGAACCCAUGGACAUUUGCUGGGUGAAUAAAAUGAUAUUAAUAAUAUAAAUUAAUUAAGUGUGGCUCGGUUUGUACGAACAUUGCCAAGAUAUGCACGAUAUACAGCCGACACGGAUCUGCGACGUCCGCACUAAACGUGCUAAUCUCUUUUUUUAAACUAUUCUUGUCUUUCAUUGACUAUGCAUAAAGAGGGAUCACGUAGAUGUCCGAAGUAUAAUUUGAAACAAUGGAUGCGAAGGUUUGUUGCGAUUUCAAUUAACGGUACUCAAGAAUAAACUGCUGAAAGUAAAAAUAACGUUAAUCUAAGGACAACGCAUAGCUGGAUAAUAUGAAGUAUCAUAAGUACAUGUAAAGUCAAGUAUAAAUUCAUGCCAUCAAAAAUGAAUAACCCUCGUAGAAACUAUUGAUAAACGUAACGAAUUUUUUAAAUCUCUAAUAAACAGAAGGUAAAUGUGUAAAAAUGAUUAUAAAAAUGAUACAAUUGUUUUAUAUGUACAUAUGUAAUUAUAUAUAAUUCAAAAUUUGUACCAUUUAUCCCAAAAUA